UAGGUUAUAGCUACUAUGGUGACCAUAGGUUAUGACUACUAUGGUCACCAUAGGUUUUGGCUACUAUGGUGACCAUAGGUUAUAGCUACUAUGGUGACCAUAGGUUAUGGCUACUAUGGUGACCAUAGGUUAUAGCUACUAUGGUGACCAUAGGUUAUGACUACUAUGGUCACCAUAGGUUUUGGCUACUAUGGUGACCAUAGGUUAUGGCUACUAUGGUGACCAUAGGUUUUGGCUACUAUGGUGACCAUAGGUUAUGGCUACUAUGGUGACCAUAGGUUUUGGCUACUAUGGUGACCAUAGGUUAUAGCUACUAUGGUGACCAUAGGUUUUGGCUACUAUGGUGACCAUAGGUUAUAGCUACUAUGGUGACCAUAGGUUAUGGCUACUAUGGUGACCAUAGGUUAUAGCUACUAUGGUGACCAUAGGUUAUAGCUACUAUGUCUGUGUAGAUUGCUGAGGGUUUCUUUAUUUUUUAAUCCAUUUUAGAAUACGGCUGUAACAAAAUGUGGGAAAAAGUCAAGGGUCUGAAUUCUUUCCGAAGGCACUGUAUCAUCAAACUUCUCAUCAGGUCUUGCUUGACUAACACCCAGCCUAAUGUUUGUUAUCUUAUCUCUGAAGCAUGCCGCAAACUCAUCACAUUUAUACGUGGAAGGAAGUUCACAUAGGUUUGCUGGGGUAGGAAUAAUCAGGCCAUCAAUGAUCGAGAAGAGCACUCUUCUGAUAAUUCUGAUAAUUAGUGAUCAAAUCAGAGAAAUUUGCCCUUCUGUCAUUUCUAAUUGCCUUAUUCCCGAUGCCAAGUUGAUCUCACAGAAUAUCAUAAUGGACCUGCAACUUUGACUUUCUCCACUUCCUCUCCGCCUGUCUGCAAUUUCUCUUUAAUUUAUUCAUUUUCUCUCUCAUUGUCACGACUUCCGCUGAAGUUGGCUCUCCUGCCUAUUCGGGCGGUGCUCGGCGGUCGUCGUCACCGUCCUACUAGCCACUACCGAUCCCUUUUUCGUUUGUCUGUUGGUUUUGUCUUAUUAGUUUCACCUGUGUGUAUUUUAGUUUAAUUAACGUCCUUAUAUGUAGUAGGUUGUCCCGCUCUUGUUUUGUGCGGGAUUGUUUUUGUAUUCAUGUCAUUUGGUGUAGCACUUGUGUUUUAUUCUCCGGUCUAUUUUGAUCCUGUGUUGGAUUAUUCACCAUGUGUGUUGGGUUAUUCACCCUGUGUGUUGGGUUAUUCACCCUGUGUGUUGGGUUAUUCACCCUGUGUGUUGGGUUAUUCACCCUGUGUGUUGGAUUAUUCACCCUGUGUGUUGGGUUGACUGUGUUUUUGUGUG
ensembl:lncRNA